GGCCAUUAACAGGAGCUUGCUGGAUUUUGGCUCUGUGUUUAGGGUGAGAAUGAGGUGUGUAUUCAAGAUGCCUCUGUUCUGCACCAAACCCAAGAGAAGGACAAGAAGCGAGGAGACGCGCCCAUUUCAGCAAUGGUGUGUCCUAUGCUCCGAUCCCUGGGAGGAAAAUUCAUUGACUGAAGUUGUGCUGAUGCCAGGGAUGUGGUUACACCCUCAUCAGAGUCACCUGUCUGCUGUUCCUUGAAUGCAGACCCAUCAGUGUACCUGAUGUAGGAAUGAUGCCUGAUACCUACAUGAACAAGUUAUGCUUACAUCCUGUUCUGUAAAAAUGAAUUUGUUGAGCCGUCAAACAGUGCUGUUUGUGAAGUUAGCAAAGUUGUGGAAAAAACAUGGCAGAUAGGGAAGAGUCAUACCAGAAAAGUAAAAGCAGCAACAGCCACAAAUAAAAGCUAAUGUUGUUUGGGAAAAUGAUGCCAGUGGUUACUGACCAGUAAGUAUUGCCCUGUCCUAAAAGUAGGAAACACAACCGGAUUGAGCAGGGAAGUGCUGUGUAUGUCAGAUUAAAAAGCCAUGCAAAACAAAUAAGGGUUCAUGAUAUAGUUACAGAAUACAGCAACAAGGAGCCCAGUACACAUUGGGUUGGAUCCAGAGUUGUUCUGCCUCUUUAUACCAGCAGGUCUAUUUGUAACAUCUGAACUUGAGUAAAUCAUUUGGCAAAAAUACCUUGCAAACUCUUGUCUAAGAAAAGAAAUUAGAAUUGGCUUUGAUAGGAAAGAUGUCAUUUGGGCUGGAAAUGGCAGUAUGAGGCCAAAUAGAAAGUGAUCUGAAGACAAAAAAAAUAAAAUAGAGUCUGUUUGUAAAUAUAUUAUGAUUAUUUCAGCACAAAGAAUGAUUAAGACAUAAUUAUAAAAAGAAAAACAAGUUACUGCAUGAGCAGCAGAACUAGGGCACCCUGGCUGCGGUGUGUUUAGAUGUGGUGCUUGGAUUCACUGGUGUCUUACAGGUUUGCUCUGAGAGCCCCUCCACAGUGCAGGUGGGCUGGUGCCUUGCUGGGACACUGCUAGAGGUGGGGACAGCCAAGCUCUGCCCGCUGGAGUCGGCUCUCUGAUCCCUCCACAGCCAGAGGUGUUUCAGACCUACACAACUUCCAAAUGCAGUCAAGGCCCAAAUGGCCAAGUUUCCCAAAUGUUACGAGGAGGGGACUCAGAGAGGGUGAUCACAUUUCCCACAUCCAUUUAUUGGGAACUCAGAUUUAAAAAUCUUGAGAAGGGUUAAUUCUAAGUGAAAGCUGGAAUGUCACAAGUGAGCAAAAUGCUCUGAAUUUUUACACUCUGCCCCUCUCCUUUGUCUUGUGUCUAAAACACCGUGUCUACACGGAUGGACUACAUAGAGGUAGUAUCUAUAAUGCCCUUAUUUUCAUACCUACUUCUUAGCUAGUGUAUUAGAAGCUUCCCCCACAAAAAGCACAACAUAUUUUUCCAAGGAGCUAUCUGCUCCCUUUCAGUAUAAAGGAUUAAGGAAACAGGGGACUUCUAAACUGAUUAUUUUGGGAUAUAUUAUUUUUUAAAACCACUGUUCUGAGUCUCUAACUGUUGAACGGGUACACCCAUCUCUGAUUAAUAAACAUUGCUUCAACUUCCAGAAUAAUGCAGCUCUGCAAGUCCUGCAGAAUAUCAGGGCAAUGUCUCGGUUGCUGUAGUGGGAACUGAACUGGGCACAAGUGCACUAUUUUUUGUCUGUAAUCAGAUAGUAUCACUGAGUUACAUGGGGUAUCCAUUAGCUUCUUAUGUGAGGAUGCAACUCUUUUUGCAAAGGGUGCAACUCUUUUUAAGGACAUAGGGAAAAUAUAAUAGUGCUUCCUUUUCAUGUCUAUUUACUAUUCUUCUCUGUUCAUUAAUACCAGAAUUUUUGGAGAAGCUUCUAAUACUACUGGAUUUCACAGAAAAAAGGAAAAAAAAAAAAGCGUCCUACAUGGUUUCACACCAGUAGAGAGGUGACAGUACACAUGGACUUAGGAGCAGAAAUCCCCUUAAACAGCAGGAACUAUGCUUAGCUCUGCCAGAAGUUAGAAAAGAGGCUGUUUGUCUGAAGAGACGAGGGUGUGGUAAAAAUAUGCUGUGCCAGUCAAGCCGACCAAAAUACUAUCUGAAUUACGAAGCAAGCUGGAAAACAAAAUUUAACAGGAGACCUGGACCCCACCUGUGACCUCCCAGGAGGGAUGGAGAGAAAAGGACUCCUGGGACCUGCACACGCACAGCUCCCUGCAGGGAAUUCUGCUGUUGGCUUACUUUCUGCAAUCAAAGCAGAAGGGAAGAGGAGGGAAUAGUCUAUGCUCAAGUUUUUGCUACUGGACCAUCUUCAUCCCUGAUAUGGCAUCUGCACUAUGAAAUUGACUCUGAAUGAAUGGGAAUUCGGGUGUCCUCACCUCCUGGAGACAGGACACAACUUUCAGACCGAAUUAGCCUCAGCUGGAUAGUUUUUGAAAUCUCCCCAAGUAACAGACCUAGAAGAUUUUUCCCUCAUGGUGGCCUGGGCUGGACAUUUGGUGGACAGGCUGUCUCUGACAGAAGAAUACAGUUCAUCAAAAGUGUCUGCAGGUUGUCAAACUCGCACUUGCAUAACACUGGUGACAAAGUCUCCGUGAAGUUGUGUGUCUGCAGGAACUGCUCUGGUCACAGGUUCAUCCAAGUGAUCAUGAAAUUCCUGAGAAAGUUAUUACUUUCAAGUCACAGUAACAGAGUAAUUUCCAGUUACCCCCAGUGAAGAGAUUCCUACCCAUCCUGGCAGGCAGUUGUUGAAUUUUAAGGAGCUUCAAAUAACUUUACAGCUUGAAAUUUCAGAUCUACCAAAAUCAGACUGAAAGACACGUGGAAGUACAGAAUCUCCCCAAGGAAUUCAGCCAGAGGGACGCAUGAGUCCACGGCUUUGUGGAUCUUCCUUUACAGGAGUUCCUGCAGCUACAGGACUAGGAGGUGAGUCUCCUGGUCUCAACCAUAAGGAGGAAAAAUGAAUGAGAUUGCCAGAUGCAUGGAGUCUGCAGUCAGUGAGCUGAGAAAAGCAUG